rnacentral:rRNA from 1 species
AGAGUUUGAUCCUGGCUCAGAACGAACGCUGGCGGCAGGCCUAACACAUGCAAGUCGAGCGCUGCCUUCGGGUGGAGCGGCGGACGGGUUAGUAACGCGUGGGAAUAUACCCUUCACUAUGGAAUAGCCUCGGGAAACUGAGAGUAAUACCAUAUACGCCCCUCGGGGGAAAGAUUUAUCGGUGAAGGAUUAGCCCGCGUAAGAUUAGAUAGUUGGUGGGGUAAUGGCCUACCAAGUCUACGAUCUUUAGCUGGUUUUAGAGGAUGAUCAGCAACACUGGGACUGAGACACGGCCCAGACUCCUACGGGAGGCAGCAGUGGGGAAUCUUAGACAAUGGGCGAAAGCCUGAUCUAGCCAUGCCGCGUGAGUGAUGAAGGUCUUAGGAUCGUAAAGCUCUUUCGCUAGGGAUGAUAAUGACAGUACCUAGUAAAGAAGCCCCGGCUAACUCCGUGCCAGCAGCCGCGGUAAUA